rnacentral:rRNA from 1 species
GACGAACGCUGGCGGCGUGCUUAACACAUGCAAGUCGAACGGAAAGGCCCUGCUUUUGUGGGGUGCUCGAGUGGCGAACGGGUGAGUAACACGUGAGUAACCUGCCCUUGACUUUGGGAUAACUUCAGGAAACUGGGGCUAAUACCGGAUAGGAGCUCCUGCUGCAUGGUGGGCGUUGGAAAGUUUCGGCGGUUGGGGAUGGACUCGCGGCUUAUCAGCUUGUUUGUGGGGUAGUGGCUUACCAAGGCUUUGACGGGUAGCCGGCCUGAGAGGGUGACCGGCCACAUUGGGACUGAGAUACGGAGCAGAAUGCAACGGGAGGCAGCAGUGGGGAAUAUUGCACAAUGGGCGGAAGCGUGAUGCAGAAACGCCGCGUGCGGGAUGACGGCCUUCGGGUUGAAAAAAGCUUUAGCCUGUGACGAAGCGUGAGUGACGGUAAUGGGUAAAGAAGCACCGGCUAACUACGUG